rnacentral:rRNA from 1 species
GGAAUAUUGGGCAAUGGAGGAAACUCUGACCCAGCGACGCCGCGUGAGGGAUGAAGGCCUUCGGGUUGUAAACCUCUUUCAGUAGGGAAGAAGCGAAAGUGACGGUACCUAAAGAAGAAGCACCGGCUAACUAUGUGCCAGCAGCCGCGGUAAUACAUAGGGUGCAAGCGUUGUCCGGAAUUAUUGGGCGUAAAGAGCUCGUAGGUCGUUUGUCGCGUCGAUUGUGAAAAUCUGAGGCUCAACCUCAGACCUGCAGUCGAUACGGGCAAACUAGAGUGUGGUAGGGGAGACUGGAAUUCCUGGUGUAGCGGUGGAAUGCGCAGAUAUCAGGAGGAACACCAAUGGCGAAGGCAGGUCUCUGGGCCAUAACUGACACUGAGGAGCGAAAGUGCGGGGAGCGAACAGGAUUAGAUACCCUGGUAGUCCGCACCGUAAACGGUGGGCACUAGUUGUGGGAACCUUCCACGGUUUCCGCGACGCAGCAAACGCAUUAAGUGCCCCGCCUGGGGAGUACGAUCGCAAGAUUAAAACUCAAAUGAAUUGACGG